GAUGAACGCUGGCUACAGGCUUAACACAUGCAAGUCGAGGGGAAACGACGGGGAAGCUUGCUUCCCCGGGCGUCGACCGGCGCACGGGUGAGUAACGCGUAUCCAACCUGCCUCUGACUGAGGGAUAACCCGUCGAAAGUCGGCCUAAUACCUCAUGGCAUCGUCUGCGGGCAUCCAACGACGAUUAAAGAUUUCAUCGGUCAGAGAUGGGGAUGCGUCUGAUUAGCUUGUUGGCGGGGUAACGGCCCACCAAGGCGACGAUCAGUAGGGGUUCUGAGAGGAAGGUCCCCCACAUUGGAACUGAGACACGGUCCAAACUCCUACGGGAGGCAGCAGUGAGGAAUAGUGGUCAAUGGGCGAGAGCCUGAACCAGCCAAGUAGCGUGCAGGAUGACGGCCCUAUGGGUUGUAAACUGCUUUUAUGCGGGGAUAAAGUGAGGGACGUGUCCUUCAUUGCAGGUACCGCAUGAAUAAGGACCGGCUAAUUCCGUG
rnacentral:rRNA from 1 species